rnacentral:rRNA from 1 species
ACACAUGCAGUCGAGGGGUAACAGGGAGCUUGCUCUGCUGACGACCGGCGAACGGGUGCGUAACGCGUAUAGAAUCUGCCUUGUACAGGAGGAUAGCCUUUAGAAAUGAAGAUUAACACUCCAUAAUACUGAUUAUUGGCAUCAUUAAUUAGUUAAACAUUUAUGGGUACAAGAUGACUAUGCGUCCUAUUAGCUAGAUGGUAAGGUAACGGCUUACCAUGGCAACGAUAGGUAGGGGGUCUGAGAGGAUUAUCCCCCACACUGGUACUGAGACACGGACCAGACUCCUACGGGAGGCAGCAGUGAGGAAUAUUGGACAAUGGGCGCAAGCCUGAUCCAGCCAUGCCGCGUGCAGGAAGACUGCCCUAUGGGUUGUAAACUGCUUUUAUACAGGAAGAAACAGAUCUACGUGUAGGUCCUUGACGGUACUGUAAGAAUAAGCACCGGCUAACUCCGUGCCAGCAGCCGCGGUAAUACGGAGGGUGCAAGCGUUAUCCGGAAUCAUUGGGUUUAAAGGGUCCGCAGGCGGUCAAUUAAGUCAGAGGUGAAAUCCCAUAGCUUAACUAUGGAACUGCCUUUGAUACUGGUUGACUUGAGUUAUACGGAAGUAGAUAGAAUGUGUAGUGUAGCGGUGAAAUGCAUAGAUAUUACACAGAAUACCGAUUGCGAAGGCAGUCUACUACGUAUAUACUGACGCUCAUGGACGAAAGCGUGGGGAGCGAACAGGAUUAGAUACCCUGGUAGUCCACGCCGUAAACGAUGGAUACUAGUUGUUGGGAUUUAUCUCAGUGACUAAGCGAAAGUGAUAAGUAUCCCACCUGGGGAGUACGGUCGCAAGACUGAAACUCAAAGGAAUUGACGGGGGCCCGCACAAGCGGUGGAGCAUGUGGUUUAUUUCGAUGAUACGCGAGG